rfam:Clostridium sp. CAG:127 genomic scaffold, scf74
UAUGUUUGAGCCUUAGAAUUACUUAAUGUUCUUUCUUCUUGUAAGCAAUACCUGAACACGAUGUUCAGGUAAGCAGCCACUGAGCCAUGGAUGGCGAAUUGGCUGCGGUUGCGUAUUUUGAGAAUAUGUUUGUUAAGAACAUUUAGUAAUUCUUAGGUUCAAUACAU